ACCAACUGAGCCACCCAGGCGUCCCCCCAAAGCUCCUAUUCUUAAAGUCUUAGGCCCUCUAUCUGGCUCCUGUGUGUCUCCUAAACCUGUGAGGCCGGUGCCUGUCAGCCCUACAGCAAAGGAGGGGGUCUGGACUGGUUAGGUGACAUGAAUAUACUCACCAUCACCCAGCUUGGGCAGGAAAGUACGUGUUUAUACCAGACUCCAUUCUGUACUGUUAAAUUGUAAAUCUUGGAUUCUUCUCUCAGGCAAAUGUGGCUAGCUACUGCAUUUCUUCUAGGAUGUACCUUGGCAUUUUGAAAACUUUUCACUUUAUACUCUACAGUUCUUAGAGUAAAAAUCAAGUAGCCACUAAAAUCAGUCCUACCCCAGCCCGUGCUCUUUUUGAGAGGCAUUAUUGCAUCAUGGCUGAGAGCAUGGACUCUGGAGCUUGAAUUGCCUGUAUUUUCAGUCCUGGCUUCACUCCUUCCCAGCUAUGUGAGCUAACCUCUCUGUGCCUCAGCCUAAUUUGUGAGUGGGGAGAACAGACUUCUGUGCCUCCAAAGGUGAUGGUGAGGAUCGAAGGAGUUAAUAUCCAGUGUGUCAUCACAGAGUAACCCCACAUCCUGUGGAGAGGCCAGGUGAGCACACGCUGAGGAGGAGAGGUUAUCUACAAGCCAGGAAGUGGGCCCUUUCCAAGAACCAAACCUGCUGGCACAUUGACCUUGGACAUCUCAGCCUCCAGAACUGUUAAAGAUCUAUACUACACACCACUAAAAUAAAGAGUUACUGCCAAUAAACCAACAAGAAAUUAAA